rnacentral:lncRNA from 1 species
CCUGAGGGCACUGGCACUGGUAGGAACCAGGCAGGUUGAGGCAGGUGCCACCAUGCUGGCAGUGUCCUGGAAUGUCACACUCAUUGACAUCAGUCUCACAUUUCUGCCCUGUGAAGCCUGUGAGGCAUUUGCAGGAGAACUGGUUGGCCACAGUGGUACAGGUACUUCCAUUUGCACAGGGAUGAGACAGGCAGGCAUCCGUCCAUUGGCACUCCUUACCUGUAAACCCGACUUGACAGGUGCACUCAUAGGUAUCCCGGCUGAGCAUAUGGCAUGUGCCGCCAUUCAGGCAGGGUCGAGACACAAAGCAUGGA